rnacentral:rRNA from 1 species
UACGGAGGGGGCGAGCGUUGUUCGGAGUUACUGGGCGUAAAGCGCACGUAGGCGGCCCGUUAAGACAGGUGUGAAAUCCCUGGGCUCAACCUAGGAAUUGCGCUUGUGACUGGCGGGCUCGAGUACGGUAGAGGGGGGUGGAAUUCCUGGUGUAGCAGUGAAAUGCGUAGAGAUCAGGAGGAACACCGAUGGCGAAGGCAGCCCCCUGGGCCUGUACUGACGCUCAUGCACGAAAGCGUGGGGAGCAAACAGG